rnacentral:rRNA from 1 species
CCCUUAGAUGUCCUGGGCCGCACGCGCGCUACACUGAACGGAUCAGCGCGUUUUCCCUUCCCGAGAGGGACGGGUAACCUGCUGAACCCCGUUCGUGGUAGGGAUCGGGGCUUGCAAUUAUUCCCCGUGAACCAGGAAUGCCCAGUAAGUGCAAGUCAUAAGCUUGCGUUGAUUACGUCCCUGCCCUUUAUACACACCGCCCGUCGCUACUACCGAUUGAACGUUUUAGUGAGGUACUCGGACUGAGCCUCAGAAGAUUCACGUCUUUUGUGCUGCUCGGGAAGAUUCCCAAACUUGAGCGUUUAGAGGAAGUAAAAGUCGUAACA